rnacentral:rRNA from 1 species
UGCCAGCCGCCGCGGUAAUACGAAAGGUGCAAGCGUUGUUCGGAAUCAUUGGGCGUAAAGCGCACGUAGGCGGGACAGCAGGUCAAUUGUGAAAGCCCAGGGCUCAACCUUGGAAUUGCAGUUGAAACCGUUGUUCUUGGAUACUUGAGAGGGUGGGGGAAUUCCUGGUGGAGAAGUGAAAUUCGUAGAGAUCAGGAGGAACAUCAGAGGCGAAGGCGCCUACCUGGCAAGAUAUUGACGCUGAGGUGCGAAAGCAUGGGGAGCAAACAGGAUUAGAUA